rnacentral:tRNA from 1 species
GGGCAUGUAGUGUAGGGGUUAUCGCGCCUCAUUCGCAUAGUGAUUUGAGGAGGCCCUGAGUUCGAUUCUCAGCUUGUCCA